rnacentral:rRNA from 1 species
AUCGAACGCUGGCGGCGGGCCUCACACAUGCAAGUCGAACGAGAGGCGGACGGGCGAGUAAUGUCUGGGAAACUGCCUGACGGAGGGGGAUAACUACUGGAAACGGUAGCUAAUACCGCAUACCAUCAGAUGUGCCCAGAUGGGAUGAGCUAGUUGGUGGGGUAACGGCUCACAAAGGCGACGAUCCCUAGCUGGUCUGAGAGGAUGACCCGCAACACUGGAACUGAGACAAGGUCCAGACUCCUACGGUGGGCAGCAGUGGGGAAUAUUGCGCAAUGGGCGAAAGCCUGAUGCAGCCAUGCCGCGUGUAUGAAGAAGGGCUUCGGGUUGUAAAGUACUUUCAGCGGGGAGGCGUUACCCGCAGAAGAAGCCCCGGCUAACUCCGUGCCAGCAGCCGCGGUAAUUC